rnacentral:lncRNA from 1 species
AAUAAGAACAAUCUGCCUAUUUUAUGUAGGCAUCCACAUAAUAUAACUAUGUAAUAACCUAUUUUCAUCUUAUUUCUCUAUAGAGAAACUAUGAGGACAUGUGCAUAAUUCUCUAACAUUUAUAGGGUUUAUGGGUUUGAGAUGCAUAGAAUUUCUAUGCGAUUUAGGUUUUUUAAAAACCUAAUUCUACCCUUCCCUAAAUCUACCCUACCACUGUCGAUUGCUCACCACUUUCUCCUAUCUUCCCCACUAU